CAACAAUUAAUGCUUUUGAUGGAAUUAUUCUUGUCUCUACUCCCGAUAUAUUUUAUGUCUUGUAUCUUAAGGUUGAUAAAGUGAAUGCCUUUUGUCUCUUCUGCCUUAGCACCAAUCUCCAAUGAAUAAAUAAUGGAACUGUGGCUUAGUUGUUGAACCCAUUAGCCCCCCAUCCCUCCUAACUUUGCAUAUCUUUCUCUUAUAUUUAUUUUUGGAUUUGAACUCAUAACUUUACGGUUUUACAGAUCACUCCAUUGAUCUUAUCGGUUGCCGAUCUUCUUUCCAGCUGCUAAUACUUGUUUAUUUUUCCUCCAGAUGACAGUGUAUGCCAAAGGGGUAUCAGUGUUGAUGCCAGGAGAGGAUGUUCCUACUUUCCUUGCACACCCAACUCCUGCACCUUGCUCUCCUGAGCACAUCAUAAAGCCAUUUCAUCAACACAGUCCUUGGCCUCAACUUCAAGCUGAAAACCUAACGUCAUGACAGAAAAUUAAGACAAACGAACUGGAGAA
rnacentral:misc_RNA from 1 species